GCGGCAAAAGCUCAAAUUUGAAAUCUGGCUCUUUCAGAGUCCGAGUUGUAAUUUGAAGAAGGUAUCUUUGGGUCUGGCUCUUGUCUAUGUUUCUUGGAACAGAACGUCACAGAGGGUGAGAAUCCCGUGCGAUGAGAUGAUCCAGGCCUAUGUAAAGUUCCUUCGAAGAGUCGAGUUGUUUGGGAAUGCAGCUCUAAGUGGGUGGUAAAUUCCAUCUAAAGCUAAAUAUUGGCGAGAGACCGAUAGCGAACAAGUACAGUGAUGGAAAGAUGAAAAGAACUUUGAAAAGAGAGUGAAAAAGUACGUGAAAUUGUUGAAAGGGAAGGGCUUGAGAUCAGACUUGGUAUUUUGUAUGUUACUUCUUCGGGGGUGGCCUCUACAGUUUAUCGGGCCAGCAUCAGUUUGGGCGGUAGGAGAAUUGCGUUGGAAUGUGGCACGGCUUCGGUUGUGUGUUAUAGCCUUCGUCGAUACUGCCAGCCUAGACUGAGGACUGCGGUUUAUACCUAGGAUGUUGGCAUAAUGAUCUUAAGUCGCCCGUCUUGAA
rnacentral:rRNA from 1 species